rnacentral:lncRNA from 1 species
AAAAAAUGAAAUUUGAUACAUAAUUUAUCAAUAUUGCUUUUUUUAUUCAAAAAACCUUCUCCAUUUUAAUUAUAACAGUAACUGUCAGUAUAUGUAAACCCUAGAAUAUAACUAGAAAUUGUUACAGAGAUAAUAUCUAUCGGGUAUCUUAUCCGUAUUCCGCAUAUGAUACGUAUAUACCAGAAUUUGAAAUAAGAUUCUCGUGCUUCCAUAAUUGAAAGAAGUUUUCCUUGAAAAAAUAAAUUCAAUAGAAAUUGAAAAAUUGACUACGACAUGCUCUGUACCGAAUAAAUAGGACUGCUAUAAAAGGAAGAGACAUGUAUCUAAUCUGGAUACUAGAUAUAUGGCUAGCUAUAGCAACGGAAGUUAGAUUUGUGCAGGUUUAAUAAAUAUACUAGCUUUAUUACGUAUUCCAAUUGUAUUCUCAAAUAAGAAGGGGUGGUGUGUAAACUCUCCCACCUUUG